AUUUCAUCAGCGCGCGUUAGUCUCCAGUCGCGCGUGCGCAGUGAGGGGAGUGCGACAAUAACGGUCGAUUUCUGAGGCGAGUAUUAAACGUUUAUAAACAACGACUUCUGUUGUUUAAACUUAAAUAUCCAUAACAAGACUAAUAAUAUUGAGAUUACGAAAAAAAGACUAAGUUAGCGUGUUUAGAAUUGACAUGACUCGCGCGUCGAAGUUGUUAUAUCGUCUGAAUUAGUAAAACAAAACAUAACAACUGAGUUUCAUAUCUAUCGCACUCGCUUUAGUUUAUUAACUCUUCAAGUGAAAACUAACCCUAAAGGUCGAAAUUAAUCUGGUGUUUAUCGAGGAGAAUGGCGGCUCCAGUAGAUCCUCAGACGCCUGCAGCAUCAGGGCAGAAGAAGGGUCACGUGAGGUUUGUGGAAGUUUCUCCUCUCCGUGAAGAUCAGAAGGGAGCGGCGGAGGAGGGCGGUCAUCUGUCCGUCUGGUCGGCCGGUCUGUUCAUCAGUAAGUGGAGGUCAGCGCAGCGCAGAGGAGUCCGAGCCCGGCUCUACACGGACGACCCCGAGUACAGACGUGUGCUGAGAGAGCAGGAGCUCCAGCUGAGAUCCACCGUGCCGCUGCCGCUGGGCUCCGCCAUGGACCAGGAGACGCUGCGCAUUCUGCUGGACGUGGAGAAAUCUUACAGACGUAACCUGGGUCCACAGCACGCUCUCACCGCAGACGCUCAGAGACGAAUCCAGACGCUCAGAAACAGAAUAUCUGCUAGAAGUGUGAGCGAGGAGCAGCAGACGAGCGUCCUGAACCCCUGGAGCCGCUGGAAGAGCUCCGCGAGACGCACAGAGACACAGAACAACCCUCAAACAGUCACCUACAGACCACCUCAGACCCCAGAGGAAGCAGAUAACACCAGCGUUUGAUGACACAUUAAAACCUGAAGAGUUACUUCAAGUCACUGUGUUUUACAGAGCCUUUCCAGUCACACACACAAAUACAGGGAGACGGAAGCUCGUUUCUGCCACACAGUGAGAUAUGAAAAGCUAACAGUGACUUGUUCCUAAAACUUCAGGAAAAGUAACUGCGAUCUCACAAUUCAGAUUUUUUUUCUUAGAGUUCUGAAUUAACAUCUCACAAACCAAACUUUUUUCUCUGAAUUAUGUUUACAUUCGCAAUUUCGUUUGAGAAAAGUCAGAAUUGUAUAGUUAUAAACUCAUAAUUGCAAGUUUGUAUCUCGCAGUUUUUACUUUUUUCUCCUAUUUCUUUAUUUCACAAUAUUUUGUCUUGUUCUGUUUCCAACAUGGAAUAAAAAAAAAAAAAAUGUAAAUAAAAAUCUCA
ensembl:lncRNA